GAGAGGGAGAAAAAGUCAAAGGGAGAGGUAGAGAGAAAGAGAGUGAGAGACAGAGUGAAACAGAGAGGGUGGAGUAAGAUAGAAGAAACAUGGAGAGGUGCUUUGUUUCCAUGGUUACUCUCCUUGCAGUUAUCAGGACAUGCCCCCCCCCCAUUUUUUGCAGUCUGUAUCUACUGCAGCCUGGAUCUACUGCAGCCUGGAUCUACUGCAGUCUGGAUCUACUGCAGUCUGGAUCUACUGAACACUGGAUCUACUGCAGACUGAAUCUACUGAACACUGGAUCUACUGCAGACUGGAUCUACUGAACACUGGAUCUACUGCAGACUGGAUCUACUGCACACUGGAUCUACUGAACACUGGAUCUACUGAACACUGGAUCUACUGCAGACUGGAUCUACUGCACACUGGAUCUAUUUCAGACUGGAUCUACUGCACACUGGAUCUACUAUGGUCUGGAUCUACUGCACACUGGAUCUACUACAGUCUGGAUCUACUGAACACUGGAUCUACUACAGUCUGGAUCUACUGCACACUGGAUCUACUGCAGACUGGAUCUACUGCACACUGGAUCUACUGCACACUGGAUCUACUACAGUCUGGAUCUAAUGCACACUGGAUCUACUACAGUCUGGAUCUACUGCACACUGGAUCUACUGCACACUGGAUCUACUGCACACUUGAUCUACUGCACACUGGAUCUACUGCACACUGGAUCUACUACAGUCUGGAUCUACUGCACACUGGAUCUACUACAGUCUGGAUCUACUGAACACUGGAUCUACUACAGUCUGGAUCUACUGAACACUGGAUCUACUACAGUCUGGGUCUACUGAACACUGGGUCUACUGCAGACUGGAUCUACUGAACACGGGGUCUACUGCAGUCUGGAUCUACUGAACACUGGGUCUACUGCAGUCUGGAUCUACUGCAGACUGGAUCUACUGCAGUCUGGAUCUACUGCAGUCUGGAUCUACUGAACACUGGGUCUACUGCAGUCUGGAUCUAAUGCAGACUGGAUCUACUGCAGACUGGGUUUACUGCAGACUGGAUCUACUGAACACGGGGUCUACUGCAGACUGGAUCUACUGCAGACUGGGUCUACUGAACACUGGAUCUGCUGCAGACUGGAUCUACUGAACACUGGGUCUACUGCAGACUGGAUCUGCUGCAGACUGGAUCUACUGCAGACUGGAUCUACUGAACACUGGGUCUGCUGCAGACUGGAUCUACUGCAGACUGGAUCUACUGCAGACUGGAUCUGCUGCAGACUGGAUCUACUGCAGACUGGAUCUACUGAACACUGGGUAUACUGCAGACUGGAUCUGCUGCAGACUGGAUCUACUGCAGACUGGAUCUACUGCAGACUGGAUCUACUGAACACUGGGUAUACUGCAGACUGGAUCUACUGCAGACUGGAUCUGCUGCAGACUGGAUCUACUACAGACUGGGUCUACUGCAGACUGGAUCUACUGCAGACUGGAUCUACUGCAGACUGGAUCUACUGCAGACUGGAUCUACUGCAGACUGGAUCUACUAUGGUCUCACAGAGACUUUGACAUCAGUACGAGUUUCCUGUAUCAAUGGAGGAAAGGUUUUAGUGAUGUCAGAAACCCUUCAUGAACUAUUGUCCAAUCAGAGACUUCUAACCCUGUAUGAGAGGGAUGUCAGUCAGUUGUCAUAGUAACUAAUGACCUGUGGAACACUGUGUAUGUUACAUUCACCUGUGAAUCAUCUGUUUAUCCCAAACUCCAAAAAAUACCGUAUCACAAGUAAUAGAGGAGCAGUGAUACCGUAUAGAGCUCCAGAGUGGAGGUGUCAUAAUACCCAUAUAACCUGGUGGUCCAACAGGGAAAGGGUUCAAAUAGUUUUUCCACUUUUCAUUUUUCUCAUAUGGGAUUUAGAAACACUUAUAAUGAGGGCUAUGUUUCAUGUAGGCUUGCCCUGGCAUGACGUUUUGAUAACCAUGUAAAGACUAGGUGACUUUACAAUAUAUCCGGCUCUAUUUACUCUCAGAUUCUAAUCAAAUGCUAAUUAGUAUCAAAGAUGCAUGUCAUCUCUAGCUGACACAUUUGCUAACGGGUAUUGUGUCAAUUUAAAACUUAUACAAGACAGUUAACAGAAUUGUCCAUUUAAAGAAAUGUUGCCUAUGUAUUCAUUACUAAACAUUAGAUAGAUAAUCCAGAGAUUCUGACCUUUGACUCAAUUCGGCAGUCUCAUCCAGAUCAUCAUGGCAUUUGUAGUUCUUUAUGAUAGCCACAUUAGCGGCAUUACAUUUUUGGGGGGGUAAAUAUAUUGAUAAGUCACCUUGUCCUAGAGAGAUCGGUUAUCAAAAGGGUACACCAGGUUAGGCCUACACGAAACACAGCCCUUACUUUAGGUGUUUCUAAAAUCCCCUAUGGGAAAUAUGAUUGGUGGAAAAACAAUUAGAACCAUUUCUCUGUUUGACUUCUAGGUUAUGAGUUAUGACUCAUAAGUUAUGACUUAUACUGUGGUACUCUAUAAUUAAGCAGUAAGUCAUGAGGGGAUGUGGUAUAUGGCCAAUAUACCACGGCUAAGGGCUGUUCUUAUUCAUGACGCAUUGCGGAGGCAUAGACACAGCCUUUAGCCGUGGUAUAUUUUCCAUAUACCAUAAACCCCGAGCUGCCUUAUUGCUAUUAUAAACUGGCUACCAACAUAAUUAGAGCAGUAAAAAUACAUGUUUUGUCAUACCUGUGGUAUACGGUCUGAUAUACCACGGCUGUCAGCCAAUUAGCAUUCAGGGCUCGAACCACCCAGUUUAUAACAGGUAAUGGAGAACCAGUGAUACCAUAUUACAGGUAAUAGAGGACCAGUGCUACCGUAUUACAGGUAAUAGAGGACCAGUGCUACCGUAUUACAGGUAAUAGAGGAGCAGUGAUACCAUAUUACAGGGAAUAGAGGACCAGUGAUACCGUAUUACAGGUAAUAGAAGAGCAGUGAUAGCGUAUUACAGGUCAUAGAGGACCAGUGAUACCAUAUUACAGGUAAUAGAAGAGCAGUGAUAGCGUAUUACAGGUCAUAGAGGACCAGUGAUAGUAUUACAGGUAAUAGAAGAGCAAUGAUACCGUAUUACAGGUAAUAGAGGAGCAGUGAUACCAUAUUACAGGUAAUAGAGGAGCAGUGAUAGUAUUACCGGUAAUAGAAGAGCAUUGAUACCGUAUUACAGGUAUUAGAGGACCAGUGAUAGUAUUAGAGAUAGUAGAGGAGCAGUGCUGUACGGUAUGUAUUUCAGCUAACAGAGGAGCAGUGCUACCAUAUUACAGGUAAUAAAAGAGCAGUGAUACCGUAUUACAGGUAAUAGAUGAGCAGUGCUACCAUAUUACAGGUAAUAGAGGAGCAGUGAUGUACGGCAUGUAUUACAGGUAAUAGAGGAGCAGUGAUACCAUAUUACAGUUAAUAGAAGAGCAGUGAUGCAGUAUUACAGGUAAUAGAGGAGCAGUGAUAUACGGCAUGUAUUACAGGUAAUAGAGGAGCAGUGAUACCAUAUUACAGGUAAUAGAAGAGAAGUGAUGCAGUAUUACAGGUAAUAGAGGAGCAGUGAUACCAUAUUACAGGUAACAGAAGAGCAGUGAUACAGUAUUACAGGUAAUAGAGGAGCAGUGAUGUACGGCAUGUAUUACAGGUAUUAGAAGAGCAGUGAUAUACAGCAUGUAUUACAGGUAAUAGAAGAGCAGUGAUACCAUAUUACAGGUAAUAGAGGAGCAGUGCUACCAUAUUACAGGUAAUAGAGGAGCAGUGAUACCAUAUUACAGGUAAUAGAGGAGCAGUGAUACCAUAUUACAGGUAAUAGAGGAGCAGUGAUACCAUAUUACAGGUAAUAGAGGAGCUGCUGCUGCAGAGUUAAUAAUUAUCAUUAUGGAGUCAAAAAUAUUCUAAAUACUUUACAGACUUUAGAAAUACAGCAACAACAGGAACAUCUGCAGUCAGAAAUCAGACUAAUGAAUCAAAUGAAAUGUUUUUGAAUCCUAAAUCGACCCUUAGCCCCUGUUUCAUAGGCCUAUGCACUCCAGUAUUCCAGUGCAGUACUGUAUAUCACUCUAUUCUUUACAUAGUGCACUACUUUUGGCCUGAACUCUGGAUUAGGGACUUCUACAGGGAUCCGUCUUGUGUUCUGUUGAUGUUUCUGUUGGCUAGAAGAAUAAAGACACACAUGUU